rnacentral:tRNA from 16 species
GGACGAUUAACUCAGUGGUAGAGUGUUACCUUCACACGGUAGAAGUCAUCGGUUCAAGUCCGGUAUCGUCCA